rnacentral:rRNA from 1 species
AUUGAACGCUGGCGGCAUGCCUUACACAUGCAAGUCGAACGGUAACAGGUCUUCGGAUGCUGACGAGUGGCGAACGGGUGAGUAAUACAUCGGAACGUGCCCGAUCGUGGGGGAUAGCGAAGCGAAAGCUUUGCUAAUACCGCAUAAGAUCUACGGAUGAAAGCAGGGGAACGCAAGGCCUUGCGCGAACGGAGCGGCCGAUGGCAGAUUAGGUAGUUGGUGGGAUAAAAGCUUACCAAGCCGACGAUCUGUAGCUGGUCUGAGAGGACGACCAGCCACACUGGGACUGAGACACGGCCCAGACUCCUACGGGAGGCAGCAGUGGGGAAUUUUGGACAAUGGGCGAAAGCCUGAUCCAGCCAUGCCGCGUGCAGGAUGAAGGCCUUCGGGUUGUAAACUGCUUUUGUACGGAACGAAAAGACUCUUUCUAAUAAAGAGGGUCCAUGACGGUACCGUAAGAAUAAGCACCGGCUAACUACGUGCCAGCAGCCGCCGUAAGAC